rnacentral:rRNA from 1 species
UACGUAGGGGGCUAGCGUUGUCCGGAAUUAUUGGGCGUAAAGAGCGUGUAGGCGGCGCGAUAAGUCUGCUGUGAAAACCCUGGGCUUAACCCUGGGCUUGCAGUGGAUACGGGCAGACUAGAGGUAGGUAGGGGAGAAUGGAAUUCCCGGUGUAGCGGUGAAAUGCGCAGAUAUCGGGAGGAACACCGGUGGCGAAGGCGGUUCUCUGGGCCUUACCUGACGCUGAGGAGCGAAAGCGUGGGGAGCGAACAGG